rnacentral:snRNA from 1 species
CAAAGGGUGUUGGUCGAU